GGGAUUAUCAACAUUAAAUGGCGGUAAUUUCGUA
rnacentral:sRNA from 1 species